UACGUAGGUGGCAAGCGUUGUCCGGAUUUACUGGGCGUAAAGAGCGCGCAGGCGGUCGUUUAAGUCGAAUGUGAAAGCCCCCGGCUCAACUGGGGAGGGUCAUUCGAUACUGAUCGACUUGAAGGCAGGAGAGAGAAGUGGAAUUCCCGGUGUAGUGGUGAAAUGCGUAGAUAUCUGGAGGAACACCGGUGGCGAAGGCGGCAUCCUGGACCGGCAUUGACGCUGAGGCGCGAAAGCCAGGGGAGCAAACGGG
rnacentral:rRNA from 1 species